rnacentral:rRNA from 1 species
GGGUUGUGAGGUUAAGCGACUAAGCGUACACGGUGGAUGCCCUGGCAGUCAGAGGCGAUGAAGGACGUGCUAAUCUGCGAAAAGCGUCGGUAAGGUGAUAUGAACCGUUACAGCCGGCGAUGUCCGAAUGGGGAAACCCAGUGCAAUUCGUUGCACUAUCGUUAACUGAAUACAUAGGUUAACGAGGCGAACCGGGGGAACUGAAACAUCUAAGUACCCCGAGGAAAAGAAAUCAACCGAGAUUCCCCCAGUAGCGGCGAGCGAACGGGGAGCAGCCCAGAGUCUGAAUCAGCUUGUGUGUUAGUGGAACGGUCUGGAAAGUCCGACGGUACAGGGUGAUAGUCCCGUACACCAAAAUGCACAGGCUGUGAACUCGAAGAGUAGGGCGGGACACGUGGUAUCCUGUCUGAAUAUGGGGGGACCAUCCUCCAAGGCUAAAUACUCCUGACUGACCGAUAGUGAACCAGUACCGUGAGGGAAAGGCGAAAAGAACCCCGGCGAGGGGAGUGAAAAAGAACCUGAAACCGUGUACGUACAAGCAGUGGGAGCACCUUCGGGUGUGACUGCGUACCUUUUGUAUAAUGGGUCAGCGACUUAUAUUCUGUAGCAAGGUUAACCGUAUAGGGGAGCCGCAGGGAAACCGAGUCUUAACUGGGCGUUAAGUUGCAGGGUAUAGACCCGAAACCCGGUGAUCUAGCCAUGGGCAGGUUGAAGGUUGGGUAACACUAACUGGAGGACCGAACCGACUAAUGUUGAAAAAUUAGCGGAUGACUUGUGGCUGGGGGUGAAAGGCCAAUCAAACCGGGAGAUAGCUGGUUCUCCCCGAAAGCUAUUUAGGUAGCGCCUCGUGAACUCAUCUUCGGGGGUAGAGCACUGUUUCGGCUAGGGGGUCAUCCCGACUUACCAACCCGAUGCAAACUACGAAUACCGAAGAAUGUUAUCACGGGAGACACACGGCGGGUGCUAACGUCCGUCGUGAAGAGGGAAACAACCCAGACCGCCAGCUAAGGUCCCAAAGUCAUGGUUAAGUGGGAAACGAUGUGGGAAGGCACAGACAGCCAGGAUGUUGGCUUAGAAGCAGCCAUCAUUUAAAGAAAGCGUAAUAGCUCACUGGUCGAGUCGGCCUGCGCGGAAGAUGUAACGGGGCUAAACCAUGCACCGAAGCUGCGGCAGCGACACUAUGUGUUGUUGGGUAGGGGAGCGUUCUGUAAGCCUGCGAAGGUGUGCUGUGAGGCAUGCUGGAGGUAUCAGAAGUGCGAAUGCUGACAUAAGUAACGAUAAAGCGGGUGAAAAGCCCGCUCGCCGGAAGACCAAGGGUUCCUGUCCAACGUUAAUCGGGGCAGGGUGAGUCGACCCCUAAGGCGAGGCCGAAAGGCGUAGUCGAUGGGAAACAGGUUAAUAUUCCUGUACUUGGUGUUACUGCGAAGGGGGGACGGAGAAGGCUAUGUUAGCCGGGCGACGGUUGUCCCGGUUUAAGCAUGUAGGCUGGUUGUCCAGGCAAAUCCGGAUAAUCAAGGCUGAGGUGUGAUGACGAGGCACUACGGUGCUGAAGUAACAAAUGCCCUGCUUCCAGGAAAAGCCUCUAAGCAUCAGGUAACAUCAAAUCGUACCCCAAACCGACACAGGUGGUCAGGUAGAGAAUACCAAGGCGCUUGAGAGAACUCGGGUGAAGGAACUAGGCAAAAUGGUGCCGUAACUUCGGGAGAAGGCACGCUGGUGUGUAGGUGAAGCCCCUGCGGGUGGAGCUGAGACCAGUCGAAGAUACCAGCUGGCUGCAACUGUUUAUUAAAAACACAGCACUGUGCAAACACGAAAGUGGACGUAUACGGUGUGACGCCUGCCCGGUGCCGGAAGGUUAAUUGAUGGGGUUAUCCGUAAGGAGAAGCUCUUGAUCGAAGCCCCGGUAAACGGCGGCCGUAACUAUAACGGUCCUAAGGUAGCGAAAUUCCUUGUCGGGUAAGUUCCGACCUGCACGAAUGGCGUAAUGAUGGCCAGGCUGUCUCCACCCGAGACUCAGUGAAAUUGAACUCGCUGUGAAGAUGCAGUGUACCCGCGGCAAGACGGAAAGACCCCGUGAACCUUUACUAUAGCUUGACACUGAACAUUGAGCCUUGAUGUGUAGGAUAGGUGGGAGGCUUUGAAGCGUGGACGCCAGUCUGCGUGGAGCCAACCUUGAAAUACCACCCUUUAAUGUUUGAUGUUCUAACGUUGGCCCCUGACCGGGGUUGCGGACAGUGUCUGGUGGGUAGUUUGACUGGGGCGGUCUCCUCCCAAAGCGUAACGGAGGAGCACGAAGGUUAGCUAAUCCUGGUCGGACAUCAGGAGGUUAGUGCAAUGGCAUAAGCUAGCUUGACUGCGAGCGUGACGGCGCGAGCAGGUGCGAAAGCAGGUCAUAGUGAUCCGGUGGUUCUGAAUGGAAGGGCCAUCGCUCAACGGAUAAAAGGUACUCCGGGGAUAACAGGCUGAUACCGCCCAAGAGUUCAUAUCGACGGCGGUGUUUGGCACCUCGAUGUCGGCUCAUCACAUCCUGGGGCUGAAGUAGGUCCCAAGGGUAUGGCUGUUCGCCAUUUAAAGUGGUACGCGAGCUGGGUUUAGAACGUCGUGAGACAGUUCGGUCCCUAUCUGCCGUGGGCGCUGGAGAAUUGAGGGGGGCUGCUCCUAGUACGAGAGGACCGGAGUGGACGCAUCACUGGUGUUCGGGUUGUCAUGCCAAUGGCACUGCCCGGUAGCUAAAUGCGGAAGAGAUAAGUGCUGAAAGCAUCUAAGCACGAAACUUGCCCCGAGAUGAGUUCUCCCUGAGACUUUAAGUCUCCUGAAGGAACGUUGAAGACGACGACGUUGAUAGGCCGGGUGUGUAAGCGCAGCGAUGCGUUGAGCUAACCGGUACUAAUGAACCGUGAGGCUUAACCUUACAACGCCGAAG